AAUUAAAUUAUAGGAACUCGGCAAUUUUAUUGCUCACCUGUUUAACAAAAACAUGUCCUUUUAGGAAUAUUUAUAUAAGGUCUGGCCUGCCCAAUGAGUGAUUGAAUGGCUGCGGUAUUUUGACCGUGCUAAGGUAGCAUAAUCAUUUGUCUUUUAAUUGAGGGCUUGUAUGAAAGGUUGGAUGAAGUAAUAACUUUCUUUAAUUUAAU
rnacentral:ncRNA from 1 species